GACGAACGCUGGCGGCGUGCUUAACACAUGCAAGUCGAACGGAAAGGCCCUGCUUUUGUGUGGUGCUCGAGUGGCGAACGGGUGAGUAACACGUGAGUAACCUGCCCUUGACUUUGGGAUAACUUCAGGAAACUGGGGCUAAUACCGGCUAGGAGCUCCUGCUGCAUGGUGGGGGUUGGAAAGUUUCGGCGGUUGGGGAUGGACUCGCGGCUUAUCAGCUUGUUGGUGGGGUAGUGGCUUACCAAGGCUUUGACGGGUAGCCGGCCUGGGAGGGUGACCGGCCACAUUGGGACUGAGGUACGGCCCAGACUCCUACAGGAGGCAACAGUGGGGAAUAUUGCACAGUGGGCGGAAGCCUGAUGCAGCAACGCCGCGUGCGGGAUGACGGCCUUCGGGUUGUAAACCGCUUUAGCCUGUGACGAAGCGUGAGUGACGGUAAUGGGUGAAGAAGCACCGGCUAACUACGUG
rnacentral:rRNA from 1 species